UGACCCAUAACUCUCUCCCUCUCAUCUCUCCCGUUGAAGCUCUCUGUAACUCAACCUCACUCUCUCUAAUUUCCCGAGCAUCACCACUCACAACCGCCAUCUCUUACAGCUUGGUUCAACACAAAAUCACCAGAAAUAGAUAAAGGGUUGCCUGAGGAUCUCAGCAGUGGCUCUGCAUGGAUCAUCUGCGCAUGGCAGAGUUUCGAACUCACUGAACCGUGAGCUUCGAGUCUUCCCCGUCGGUUCAGUUUUCUGGUGAACUCAAGGCGAAAUUCGAAAGGAAUCGUUGUCGAUUUAGUUGGACUCAACUUCUUCUGAUCUCAGGCUAGGAAUCCAACGACCUUUUUGGUUGUUCCCGAUGACCCCAAGAUGGAAUCAGUCUCAAUUUUUACAUUUUAUAUCUAGGUACAUCUGUGGGAAGUGGCACCUCCCUCGCUAGUUGAGCGGCUCCCGGGCAAAGGAAGACUUGUGAGUGGACCCCUUCAUAACUUGCAUGGUUUUAUAAACCUUAGGGUUGCAUGUAUAUUUUAUUUCAGAGUUGCAUAUGUUUUAAAAUAUGUUUGAUGAAAUUGCAAAUCUUUGAUAUUUGGAAUAUUUUGGAUAUAUUCGGUUUACAUUAUAUUAAGGGUUAUAAACUAUUGAUUGAUACGUAUGA